GCGCGAAAACUUUACAAUGCUGGCAACAGCGAUAAGGGAACCUCGAGUGCCAGGUUACAAAUCUGGCUGUCGAGAUGCCUAAAAAGCAUUUCAUAGCAAGGGCCGGGCAAGACCGGUGCCAGCCGCCGCGGUAACACCGGCGGCUCGAGUGGUAACCGUUAUUAUUGGGUCUAAAGGGUCUGUAGCCGGCCGGAUAAGUCUCUUGGGAAAUCUGGCAGCUCAACUGUCAGGCCUUCAGGAGAUACUGUCUGGCUCGAGGCCGGGAGAGGUGAGAGGUACUUCAGGGGUAGGGGUGAAAUCUUGUAAUCCUUGAAGGACCACCAGUGGCGAAGGCGUCUCACCAGAACGGACCUGACGGCAAGGGACAAAGCUAGGGGCACGAACCG
rnacentral:rRNA from 1 species